UACGAAGGGUGCAAGCGUUACUCGGAAUUACUGGGCGUAAAGGGUGCGUAGGUGUUUGUUUAAGUCUGCUGUGAAAGCCCCGGGCUCAACCUGGGAAUGGCAGUGGAUACUGGACAGCUAGAGUGCGGUAGAGGGUAGUGGAAUUCCCGGUGUAGCAGUGAAAUGCGUAGAGAUCGGGAGGAACACCAGUGGCGAAGGCGGCUACCUGGACCAGCACUGACACUGAAGCACGAAAGCGUGGGGAGCAAACAGG
rnacentral:rRNA from 1 species